rnacentral:lncRNA from 1 species
CUUCUCUCUGUUCUCAAUAGUUCGGUUCCAAACCCAUAGCUUCUACUGUUUGAUUCCUUUCCCCUUUCCCGUUCAAUCAACCAUUCAAUUGUUCAGCAUCAGAGAGCUAUUCAAUACCUAACCCUUUUUCCUUUCCAUCCCAAUCCAUUCAAUCAGCCACUAGAAUUUCAUCAAAUGGUUUCGCUCUCUUCUUUCCUCAAUCGGUCAUCGCCGAGACAUUCAAGAGUUAGAGGUUCGUAGUCAAUAAUAAAGAAAAUAGAGUUUUUCAAUUUUGAUAGUUUUUUAUGCUUUCCUAUUCUAACCCUGAUUUGGUCAAUCAGACACAGAUGGCAAGGAUUAAUGCAGGUAUUGUUUUUACCCAUUUAACUUUGUCUUGGCAAUUAAGAUCAUUUCUGUUUAUUUGUAAUAUAACCCUCGAUUGUAGGUGUUUGGCAUGACCAUAUGUAGCCUGAUGGAUGGACUGUUGUAACUGCAGAUGGCAAAUGCAGUGCCCAGUUUGAGCAUUCUUUUGGUAACCUUACAUUGCAUUUAAUGUUAAUCUGUGGUCGAUCAGAUUAUCUUGGCCACACUUGCGACUUUGUGGCCCUUAAUAUCAUUUUGGGUUGUUGGGGAUAAUUUAGCUGAUUUGAACACCGGGCUUGGGUUAUUUAUGGAAUGUCACUCCAUUUAAAUACCAUGAACUACGACUAUGAAGUUUAAUUAUCUAUAUGAAUAUGAUAUUGUUCUACUUACAGAACACUUGAGUACAAAGAUAAUAGGUUUUUGAUUCCACUUCUCUCAAGUAACAAAUAUACGCAUGAUUUUAAAAAUUUGAUUAUGUAAUGCCAAGCAAUAAAGUUGAUGUAUUCUUAGACUUUAGUUCCUACGAGAAUAAUAUUCUAGAAUUAAUUUCUGUGAUUAGUGAUGCUUGCAGAGGUCAG